GAUGAACGCUGGCGGCGUGCCUAAUACAUGCAAGUCGAACGAACAGGCGCUGCGCUUGCUGCGUGCACGUUUGGCGAAGGCGUGAGUAUCACGCGUGUAACACCCCCUUGACUUUCGGAUAACUUCUGGAAACUCCGGCUAUUAUCGCAUAUGAUCUCCUGCUGCAUGUUGUUGGUUGGAAAGUUUCGGCGGUUGUGGAUGGUCUCGCUGCUUAUCAGCUUGCUGGUGUGGUAGUGGCUUUCCAAGGCUACGACGGGUAGGCGGCCUGAGAGGGUGACCGGCCACAUUGGGACUGAGGGACGGCACAGAAUGCUACGGGAGGCAGUAGGGGGAAAUAUUGCAGAAUGGGCGGAAGCCUGAUGCAGAAACGCCGCGUGCGGGAAGACGGCCUUCGGGGUGUAAACCAAUUUCGCCUGUGACGAAGCGUGAGUGACGGUAAUGGGUAAAGAAGCACCGGCUAACUACGUG
rnacentral:rRNA from 1 species